rnacentral:rRNA from 1 species
GCCGUCUACAUGCGACGACGGGUAGCCGGCCUGAGAGGGCGACCGGCCACACUGGGACUGAGACACGGCCCAGACUCCUACGGGAGGCAGCAGUGGGGAAUAUUGCACAAUGGGCGAAAGCCUGAUGCAGCGACGCCGCGUGAGGGAUGACGGCCUUCGGGUUGUAAACCUCUUUCAGCAGGGAAGAAGCGAAAGUGACGGUACCUGCAGAAGAAGCGCCGGCUAACUACGUGCCAGCAGCCGCGGUAAUACGUAGGGCGCAAGCGUUGUCCGGAAUUAUUGGGCGUAAAGAGCUCGUAGGCGGCUUGUCACGUCGGAUGUGAAAGCCCGGGGCUUAACCCCGGGUCUGCAUUCGAUACGGGCUAGCUAGAGUGUGGUAGGGGAGAUCGGAAUUCCUGGUGUAGCGGUGAAAUGCGCAGAUAUCAGGAGGAACACCGGUGGCGAAGGCGGAUCUCUGGGCCAUUACUGACGCUGAGGAGCGAAAGCGUGGGGAGCGAACAGGAUUAGAUACCCUGGUAGUCCACGCCGUAAACGUUGGGAACUAGGUGUUGGCGACAUUCCACGUCGUCGGUGCCGCAGCUAACGCAUUAAGUUCCCCGCCUGGGGGAGUACGG